rnacentral:lncRNA from 1 species
UGAUUUCUCUAGAGGGGCGAGGGUGAUUCAGAUCUUCGUUCCUGAAAUUAGGAAGAUAGUUAGAGGCUGAUUACCAUCAAACAUAAGAGGAAAAAUUACAACAGCAUAAAUAUACUCAAACCAUACUUCGUUCUGCUUGGACUUUCACAUUGACACCGAUUGAUCGUUUUCAUCAUCACUGCUGGAGCUCUCUUCAGAACUGUCAUCAUCACCACUGCUUUCUUUCUUGGCAACCUUAGAGACCAAAAUCUUCAGAUGAAAAAGCAAACACCAAAAAUUCCUUAGGCUUCUUUAGUGCAGGCUCUUCAUCACUCUCAUCAGAACUAUCAUCAGAAUCAUCCUUGGACUGCAAAUAUUGAAUUACAACAAGAUCAAUUAAUGUACAACAAAUAUCACAGAAGACAAUGCUUUCAAGAAAAUAAAAUUUAAAAAAUAAUGCGUACAUGUUCACUCUUUUUCUCUGUUGUCAGAAGCCUCUUAGCAGGAAUAGUAGAUUUUGCUGGCUGCAAAACAUUGGAAGGAAUUUUAAACAUUGCACAACAAAAAAGUGACCAGGAGUAAGCAAGUAACAGAACACUUACUUCAUCAGAAUCGGAAUCCGAGUCAUUAUCUGAGCUACCACUAGAUUCUUCUUUCUUUACAGAAACUGUUUUAGCAGU